rnacentral:sRNA from 1 species
AGGCCAGCAUGGCCCUCUGUAGCUCCAGCGGUGGGCAAGGGGCAGACAAGGGGUCCUCCAGGCUGGCGAGAAGCCUGGCCCCCUGCUCCAAUCCAGGGAGCCUGAUUGCACCAGGAAGGAGGAAAACACGCGGAGUUUGCUGAACGACAAGCGUGCAGUGGCGGCACAGCGGCAGCGCUACGAGCAGUACAGCGUGGU